rnacentral:rRNA from 1 species
UUCGUAGGCGGUGCGGCAAGUUGGGAGUGAAAUCUCUGGGCUCAACCCAGAGGCUGCUUCCAAAACUGCUGUGCUUGAGUGUGAGAGAGGCUCGUGGAAUUGCAGGUGUAGCGGUGAAAUGCGUAGAUAUCUGCAGGAACACCCGUGGCGAAAGCGGCGAGCUGGAUCACUACUGACGCUGAGGAACGAAAGCUAGGGGAGCAAACA